AUGUUGAGGUGUGAUGGGGAGCCCUUAUGGGCGAAGUAUCUGAUUCCACGCUGCCAAGAAAAGUCUCUAUGGAGGAUGUUGGCGCCCGUACCGCAAACCGACACAGGUAGGUGAGGAGAGAAUCCUAAGACCAGCGGAAGAAUUGUUGUCAAGGAACUCGGCAAAUUGACCCCGUAACUUCGGGAGAAGGGGUGCCUACGCAAGUAGGUCGCAGAGAAUAGGCCCAAGCAACUGUUUAGCAAAAACACAGGUCUCUGCUAAAGCGAAAGCUGAAGUAUAGGGGCUGACGCCUGCCCGGUGCUGGAAGGUUAAGGGGAAUACUUAGCGCAAGCGAAGGUAUGAACUUAAGCCCAGUAAACGGCGGCCGUAACUAUAACGGUCCUAAGGUAGCGAAAUUCCUUGUCGGGUAAGUUCCGACCCGCACGAAUGGCGUAAUGAUUUGGGCACUGUCUCGACAACAAAUCCGGCGAAAUUGUAUUGCGAGUGAAGAUGCUCGCUACCCGCGAUUGGACGGAAAGACCCCGUAGAGCUUUACUGUAGCUUAGCAUUGAAUUUCGGUAUUGUCUGUACAGGAUAGGUGGGAGACUUGGAAGCAAGGGCGUCAGCCUUUGUGGAGUCAACCUUGGGAUACCACCCUGACAGUACUGGGAUUCUAACCGGCGGCCAUGAAACUGGUCACGGGACAUUGUUAGGUGGGCAGUUUGACUGGGGCGGUCGCCUCCAAAAAAGUAACGGAGGCGCCCAAAGGUUCCCUCAGAACGGUUGGAAAUCGUUCGAAGAGUGCAAAGGCAGAAGGGAGCCUGACUGCGACACAAACAAGUGGAGCAGGGACGAAAGUCGGGCUUAGUGAUCCGGUGGUUCCUCGUGGGAGGCCAUCGCUCAACGGAUAAAAGCUACCUCGGGAUAACAGGCUGAUCUCCCCCAAGAGUCCACAUCGACGGGGAGGUUUGGCACCUCGAUGUCGGCUCGUCGCAUCCUGGGGCUGAAGUAGGUCCCAAGGGUUGGGCUGUUCGCCCAUUAAAGCGGCACGCGAGCUGGGUUCAGAACGUCGUGAGACAGUUCGGUCCCUAUCCGUCGCGGGCGUAGGAAAUUUGAGAGGAGCUGUCCUUAGUACGAGAGGACCGGGAUGGACUGACCUCUGGUGCACCAGUUGUUCCGCCAGGAGCACAGCUGGGUAGCUAUGUCAGGACGGGAUAAACGCUGAAAGCAUCUAAGCGUGAAGCCCACCUCAAGAUAAGAUUUCCCAUAGCAUAAGCUAGUAAGACCCCUUGAAGAACACAAGGUUGAUAGGUUAGAGGUGUAAGCAUGGUAACAUGUUCAGCUGACUAAUACUAAUAGGUCGAGGGCUUGACCA
rnacentral:rRNA from 1 species